rnacentral:tRNA from 1 species
AUAGAGAAGUAAAAAAUUACUUAUAGUUUCGACCUAAAUAUAGAGAUUAAUCUCCCUAUUUU